UACGUAGGGUGCGAGCGUUGCCCGGAUUUAUUGGGCGUAAAGGGCGCGUAGGCGGCCACGCACGUCCGUUGUGAAAUCGCCCGGCUCAACUGGGCGGGGUCAGCGGAUACGGUGUGGCUCGAGCAAGCUAGGGGGCAAUGGAAUUCCCGGUGUAGUGGUGGAAUGCGUAGAUAUCAGGAGGAACACCGGUGGCGAAGGCGGGUCUCUGGGCCGAUACUGACGCUGAGGAGCGAAAGCGUGGGGAGCGAACAGG
rnacentral:rRNA from 1 species